rnacentral:rRNA from 1 species
GAGAACUGCCAUACCAUGCUGAAAACACCGGUUCUCGUCCGAUCCCCGAAGAUAAGCAGCAUCGGUCUGGUUAGUACUUGGAUGGGUGACCGUCUGAAAAUACCAGACGCAGUCCUUU